rnacentral:ncRNA from 1 species
AAAAGACUUAGUCCUAACCUUACUGUUAGUUUUUGCUAGGUAUAUACAUGCAAGUAUCCGCGCCCCAGUGAGUACGCCCUGGACACCCGCACGGGUAGAUAGGAGCAGGCAUCAGGCUCACCUCAACUGUAGCCCAAAACGUCUCGCAAUUGCCACGCCCCCACGGGUCGAUCAGCAGUAGUUAAUAUUAAGCAAUGAGUGUAAACUUGACUUAGCCAUAGCAAAUCUAGGGUUGGUAAAUCCUGUGCCAGCCACCACGGUCAUACAGGAGACCCAAAUUAACUUUAUAACGGCGUAAAGAGUGGUCACAUGCUAUCCAAGUAGCUAAGAUUAAAAGGCACCUGAGCUGUCACAAGCCCAAGAUGCUAGUAAGGCCUCCUUAUCAAAGAAGAUCUUAGAACAACGAUCGAUUGAACUCCACCAAAGCCAGGGCCCAAACUGGGAUUAGAUACCCCACUAUGCCUGGCCCUAAAUCUUGAUGCUUAACCCUACCUAAGCAUCCGCCUGAGAACUACAAGCACUAACGCUUAAAACUCUAAGGACUUGGCGGUGUUCCAAACCCACCUAGAGGAGCCUGUUCUAUAAUCGAUGAUCCACGAUAUACCUUACCAUUCCUUGCCAAAACAGCCUACAUACUGCCGUCGCCAGCCCACCUCCACUGAAAGCCCAACAGUGGGCGCAACAGCCCCACCACGCUAAUAAGACAGGUCAAGGUAUAGCCUAUGGAAUGGGAGUAAUGGGCUACAUUUUCUAGAUUAGAACAUAAAUCUAUGGGACAUGGACAAAGGGACAUGAAACUGUCCCUGGAAGGCGGAUUUAGCAGUAAAGUGGGACAAGUGAGCCCUAUUUAAGCUGGCCCUGGGGCACGUACAUACCACCUGUCACCCUCCUCACAGGCGCCCCCUCCUCCAUAAAUUAAUAAGUUAUCCAGCCAAAGAUGAGGUAAGUCGUAACAAGGUAAGUGUACCGGAAGGUGCACUUAGAAUACC